AACCAGGAUAAGAUCAUUAAUGAUUAUAAGCAAAAGAUUGAAGGUGAAUUAAGAAAGCUGAGUAAGUACAAGGAAAAGGCCGAGACUUGCGGACUGGGCUACUAUGAUUCCUUCAAGCUCCAAGAAAAAGAAGAUGGCUUCCAGGCUAAUGUGAGCAGGCUUGUGCUAGCUGGUUACUGGGACGAGAUGAUGGAAAUGUUAAAAGCGUAUAAACUUCCGGAUGAAUUUGAGAAGAGCCAUGACUGUAUACGACUUGGAACAGAUUAUCGCCGCACGGUUGAGCCUCUAGAUAUUGCCAACUUUUAUCGACACGCCAAGGAUGAAGAGACAGGGUUCUACGUGAAAAAGGGGACUCGACCAAAACGAUAUCGAUACAUCCAAAAUUGGCUCGAGCAUGCUGAAAAGAAGCCAUCUGGAUCCCGCUCAGAAUCCUGUUUCUGGGCUGAGGUAGAGGACCUCCGCAUUAAAACUAGAAGCAACGGAUCCUCUCCAGAAAUUAAGCAGAAGGUUCUGCAACUGGGGCAAAAUCUAAUUAAAUGGAUUGAUGAUGAAUCUUUAGGCAAGGAUGUGUUGCUGGAGAAUUCCACCUUUGUUAAAUGGUGGAAACCCCUUCCUCCUGAGUAUAAAUCAGAACCCAAAUCAUCUCGCAUUAUGAAACUCAUCCAUGAGAAAGAUUGAGAGGGUUUCAUGCUGUUAUCUCGAGGCAUUUGUUCAAAGCCAAUAAACCCUGUAAAUAAGCUCUAGCUUUGACUGCUCUCUUGAUAACCGAAAUGUUCUUGAUAAGUCCAUUAUUUACUAGUAAGAUGGUUUUCUUCCUGAGUGUAUGCAAAAUCCUGUUUCCUAUAUUAAUACAUAACGAUCCAUUCUCAAUCGUGUAGAUAAUAUCACUGUGAUACCCCGGGUCUUAGGUCCCACUAUGUGAAAAUCAAGAAUGAAAAUGACUAGAUACCAAGAGGUAAUGCGCAUGAUUUUUUCAUACAAACAAACAAGUAGGUUGUACUUCAACACAGAUGAAGUUUGCGAUUUGAAGUUACAACUAUCUAAUAAUAAAGAUGAUGAGAAGGCAUAUUUCUUAAGAAAAUGGCCAUGAUAGCAUUUAGCAGAGGAUACUAAUACAGAAGAUUGAAAAUGGGCUGGUAAAUUAACGGACAGAUGAACGCUUGAUGUGCAUCCUUGGCCGAUCGAUAUGUAUAUGAAAUUAAAUGCUGUGACAAAGACCUAGUUAGCUCCACAAUGAAAAAAGAAGCCCUUGCCAUAUGACUACAGAGGCCCUGUCACAGACUCACAGUUCAACUACAACCAGUUCCUUCCUAGCUUUCAGAACUUUCCAUAUUUAAAAAAUAUUAAUUUUAUAUUUUAUAGUUGGUAGUUAAAUUCAUAAAAAUAAUAAUUAUAUUUUUCUAUAUUUAAAAUAAUAAUCAAUAAUUAUUUAAUAUUAAUAAUAUUUAAAUUUAUAAAGUGUGGAAUCAAGAAGUUUCUAGGAUAAUACUAAUAAAUGUUGGAUCCGCAUUUUUCACAUGCAUUCCCACUCAACGACGAAACUCAUAUUUAUUUAAGGUGAAAAACUGUAUUUUAUAAGAAACUGGAAUCGCUACUUAUUAUUAUUUUUUAAAAGGGAAAAUAAGGAAAGAUAGGUUUGUAAAAACUGAGUUAGAUUCGGAGGUCAAGUUACCUAUUGGGAAGAUACAGUGGCUAAUCGUAGCACCUUUCUAAGCAUUACAAGUCAGGUCUCUAUUAAUAAAACUAAGACAACUAUGACAAUUGGUUGAUCAAUUUAUGGAUACCUAGCAAGAGUCAAAAUAUACUACGACCAAAGCAUGUAUCAAAAGAUAAUCGAAUGAGUAAAGAAGGAAAGGAGUGUACCUGAGUAAUAAGUCAAAGUGUGCUUCUAUGGAAAACAAGGUUAAUAAAUAAUAUAAGUAUAAAAUAUCUCAUGUCAAUCACAAACAAAAUCAAUCAAUAUUAAUCAAGCAAAGCAAUUAGAGGAAGGAGUGUCAUGGAUGUUGGGCCCAUCAAGGCCCAAUUUAUUUUUACAUGAAUUAAUUCUAUAAAUUCCAUUAUUUUUGGAAUCAUAAAAUUUAUUUAUGCAUUAAAAAUAGAGAAAAUCAAGAAAAACUACAUAAAAAAAAAUGUGAAAUGUGCUUGCCGGGGGGAAAUAUGACAGCAAUGUUUAUAAAAAUCGGGAUUUUAGUGCCUAAAAUAGUCUAAAGAUGAACAUUUAAAAUUGGGUUUAUUUCAGUCGAAAAUAGUUUUGAAAAUUCAAUUUAAAAACCUGUAAAUUCUCACCAAGAUAGGAAAAACACACCAAGAGGAAGGAAGGAUGACUUAAGAAUGGUGCACCAAAGGUGGCAAUGGUGGAGUGGGGCUCGUGGGUAGGCAGGCAUGUGCAUUUCCAUAUCAGAAUCCCUGUGCUGCUGCUCAUUCUCCAGGAGUCUGUAAGUCGCUUCACCCCUAUUCCCAUGCAGCAGAAGAGUGCUUCAAUUGUCUGGUUUUGCAGCUCUCACCCUUGUGUUUACUCCAAUUCAAGAUUAUCCCCCUGCAUCCCAAUCUCUCUCUAUGCUGACUCAAGCCGAGCUUGCAGAAUCCCAGUCGCAGAAUCAUUCCUUUUGAGCUCACAAAAUUAACCUGGUAAUCUCUUCUUCCCAGAACUCUAGUUUUUUAUUGUACUCAGUGGUCUUCCUAAGCAAUUCCUCAUAGCUAGCAUCAGUUCCCACCUUUGGGAUGCAAUCUGCGCUCCAUUAGAGCCCCAUCUUCUCCCAUAGAACUCGCCCAGGUUACCAAAUUCAUUCCUGCCAUAGCUGAGUCCUCCAUUAGGCAGCAACAAAUACAACACUUUAAAUGGAUUAGUUUCCAGAUCAAAUUGGAGGACAUACAGAAUGCUGUCAUCUAUGGGCAGCUUUUCGAGUUCAAGAGAAUUUUAAUGGCCACGUGAUAAGGGAUCUUAGUGACAGUCAACAUUCAGCUAAGCAGAAAUCUGGAGAGGCUAUAGUAGUGAUCAGCAUUGUCGCCCAUCCGUACAUUCACCUUGACAAAAUUGUAUUUGGAGGAAACAUUCUGAAUGGAGAAUCAAAUGGUUGGGAGAGAGGAAUCAGAGAUGUCUUCUUCUGGGGUGUCAGGGUUUGGACAAGUUGUGUGAAGACUGCCAGGUACUGAGGAUACCAAGGCUGGGAACAAGAACUGGUCACAUGUACACGGAGAUGGCCAUGCAUGUGGAUUGCAUGCACAUGGGAAAGAUGGUGCAAUAGACUUCGCUAAAUUCAAGCUUCUUGGAUAGCUUGCAACUUCAUCCAGAUAAAAGAUGCUUUCUGCUUCACAUAGAUGUAACAAAAUUGAUGGGGAGAAGAGAGUUGACCACUUCAUCUCCAUUAACGUCACUCUCAAUAUCAGGAGGAAUUUCUUCUCUUGUUAACGAGGAAUCUGAUCUCUUCAAAGACUGUGGUGGCUCUGUUGAAGCCAUUCUUAAAUUGUACAAUGCUCAGACUCCUUCAAGUUGGUCACGGCCUCCAAUACUAGAUUCCCCAGCCUUACGAUGUACCCUCUUUGAACCAGUAAUCUGCUCAGGGUUGCCAGGGAAGGCAAGGGCCUUAGCAUCGACAGUUUGAUCAUCACUUUGAACUAUUGCGCUGAGAGGCGGAGAAUUCUCCUGGUUUAGGGCUUGUUGGCACCCUUCUGUGGGCCAAUCUAGACUCCUCUCUUGAGCCCCAUCCAUUUUCCAUCACAUUCAUGUUCCUUCAUUGCCCAUCAACAAUAAAUCUGUACUGAUAAAUACCCGAGGGGAGCAUUUUCAUAAUGGUGGACUAUUUCCUCAUCUCUGCAAGGGUUUUCUUAUCUUCCAAUUAUCCCAUAAUUCCUCCGCAGCUACUUCCUUGCUAUCAUAGCUCCAUGUAAUCAUAGUUGGAAUUCCUUGCUCACUGCACACCACCUGACCUUGGCCACUCAUUUCCAAGUCUCAAAACUCUGCCUUUCUCACCCUCUUUUACUACCUUUGAGGCUUUGCUGCAAAAGAUCAAAACUGUAGGCUACCUCAUGCAAUGGCACACACCACCCUUUCUCAGAUUCCCUUAUUAGCUUGUGGAGAAAUUUAUUAAAUUUCACAUCAAAGGCAAGAAAAUUGGAAGGGGACAAUGAACCGCAGAUGGAUGAGAGAAUAAUGGCCUUGUCGUUGCAUGUUCAUGAGCAGCAUGAACUGUAUCCUUCAUUUCAGGAACUGAGGCCCUAUGACCUCCAGACCUGAAGGCUCAAUGAAUAGUCAAAGAUUUGACUUCCUGUAGGCUUGCCACAUCCUGAACAGACCUGAAUUUUCUCUUCUUCCGGGCCUUUUCUCAGAAGGUGGUUCCUUAGCUGUCUUGUAUGUCAGAGGCAAAUUGAUGCCUUGGAUUAAAAGAGUCUGAUGACAGAGUACUAAGAUGCUCCUGAUUGAAACGGAACACUUUCAUAGCAGCAUAUUCAAACUACCACAGAAUUGAGCAUCAGGAUGAAUUAAGCCACUUUACUUCAUCAACUUUUUGCACUUUCCAACAGUGCAGGACCAUUUUCCUUGCCAUUGCUGAAAGACUGUUGAUGAGCGCAAUGAUCAUUGAAUUACUGGUGGAUUUUCAUUGUGGGAAACCUAAGCUGAUUAAGCAACAAACCCAAACUUUGACUAGCUUGAAUUGAUAGAUCUCCAACAUUGGAUACAGGAUGACCUCUUAGGAGCUAAAGAUAUAUUAAAUUCCACAAGCUUUCCUUCAGAGGGCUGAUCAAGAGGUGUAUCUAAACCUUAUUUGGCAUGACCAACAAGCUGUCACUUUCACACGCAUAUUCUAAGCAUCUUCCCAGAGGCUUAACAGAAAAGGGAUCUUCAGGUUUACAGAGGAGGGAAAGGAAACCCUGCUUUGCAUUCGGAAAAGUUUUGUUGCUGUUGACAUCUUCACCAUUCUGAGUACUUGGGACUGUUGGUGCAGGUGUGGAGCAACCAGAAAAGUUGUUACUCAGACCCAAUAUUCUCAAUAGCACUGCUUAAAUUUGCCAGGCUCGAGAACAAAAAUGAGAGGUAGCUAGUUCUUUUGAUGCUUCCCUGCUAAAUUUGCCAGGCUCGAGAAUAAAAAUGAGAGGUAGCUAGUUCUUUUGAUGCUUCCCUGCUUGAAUUUGGAGUAUUUGAACCGGCAACAACUCUAUCAAUCCCAAGGGUAGAGAUCAGCUUCUCAAUUAUAGUGACUUGUGACUCCCAGAUCAGUGGAGAUCCAUCUUCAUGACCAGAGAUUGACCAUGACUCCACCUCAUGAAUGAUGAAUUCCUAGAGCCUCAUCUGUUUGAUGAAGGUGAAGUUUGAUUAGUAGGAGUUUUGAGUACUAUUUGAUAGUCUCUCUUCAUGCUGUGGGGGGUUCACUACAGGUUGAUGAUCAUCAUGAGAUGAGCUCGACAUGCUCACUCCUUAUUGGAUUUAUACUCCGAUACUGAUGUAGCCUUCAAACUCCACAAAUAAGCUAUACUUGAACCGAAGACUAAGGAUGACUAAACCAUCACCUCCAUCCUAACUAUGCUGGCGUUCAAAUACUACAAAAUGAUAUUUCAAUGGUCCUGCUUUCAAACCGCAAUUCCACACCUGAAGACGUUUCUCACCGAACCAAAGGCAACGGUGGUAUUGGCAUUAUUGGACAUACAAAUGCUCUGCAUGGACCCCAAACCACCAUGGUACUUCAAUGUCAAGGCCCAUGGCCAUUUCUGUUGUCCAUGAAAAUAAUCUUGAAGGGCUAUACAACUUUUAGCAACUCUUUAAAGGAUGCAAUGUGUCUGGAAGAUUGAAUUGAAGAUGAAUGACAUUUGUAGAAUCAACAGAUGAGGUUGCAUUUCUAGAGCCUCUUUCUGGAGGCCUUUCUCCAAGAAUUUUUCCAUGGCUCUCUGUUGUCAUCUUCUGCACAAUAGGAGAUGAUUUCACAUCCUACAGCCACUUGCUCCUGUUAUUAUGCUUCUGUCACCCCUCUCACAGUUUUCUUGCAAGAUACAAAUAACUCUCUCCACUGGGGUCACGAAUCUGUGGCAAUGAGCCAAAACACAGCCCUCUCUUCUCAAGCGUAGAUCAGAACACAAAACCAAUUGUCCAUAGCAAAUCGAAAUAUGUGAGCCAGAAACAGGAUAUGGAUUGAGAUACUGGAAAUAGAGAAGUGAACAAAACAAGAUACAACAUACCCAGAACAAAAUAAACAAGUAAGCAAAACAUUAAAUGGGAUCCCUUUUCAUGUUGAAAUCAAUGGGUUCAUAGAGCAGUGGUGCAGUAGGAAAGUUCAACACAAAUAUCAAAAUGAGGUCAUCAACAAACUCCUACUGUAAGAGUGAGCCAUAUUCAGAUUAAAAAAUACGAAAGAAGAGCGGUACAACAUCACAUCCAUACCAAAAAUAAUAGAUUUUCUCUAAUUAUCUAAUUAGACAGCUCACGCCAACACUCCCCCUCAAGUUGGAGCCUAGAUAUCUCUUAUGCCCAACUUGUCAAGUGAGUUGUAGUAGUUCCUUGCAGACACUGCUUUUGUGAGUAUAUCAGCCAACUGGUCUUUUGAUUUAACAAAUGGAAGCUGAAUAAUCUUUUCUUCAAGGUUCUGUUUGAUGAAGUUUCGAUCCACCUCAACGUGCUUAGUGCGAUCAUGUUGGAUUGGAUUGUGGGAGAUAGCAAUGGCUGCCUUGUUAUCACAGAACAGGUUCAUUUCAUAGCUGAGAGCAACACCGAUCUCAACUAGCAGCUUUUUAAGCCAAAGAAGCUCACAUAUUCCUUUGACCAUUCCCCGAAAUUCAACUUCAGCACUAGACAAUGUAAUUACCUUUUGUUUCUUGCUCCUCCAUGUAACCAGGUUGCCUCCCACAAAAGUAAAGUACCCUGAAGUAAAUUUCCUAUCUGUGAUGUUCCCUACCUAGUGAGCAUCUGUGUAGCCAACAACAUUCAAAUGACCAUUCUUUGAGAACAUAAGUCCUUUCCCAAGAGAGGACUUCAAAUAACGAAGGAUCCGCAUUACGGAAUCCAUAUGGUCUUCACUCGGGCAAUGCAUGAACUGACUCACUACACUCACAGCAUAACCAAUAUCUAGUCGAGUAUGAGAUAAAUAGAUGAGUUUACCCACUAACCAUUGAUACCUCUAUUUGUCCGCUGGCACCUGGUCUACAUAUUCUCCAAGUUUAUGAUUCUGGACAAUUAGAAUAUCAACAGGCUUGCACCCUAGUAAUCCUACAUCUGCCAGCAAGUCUAGUAUAUAUUUCCUUUAGGAAAGAAAUAUGUCUUGUCUUGACCUUGCUACUUCAAUGCCUAAAAAAUACUUAAGCCCUCAUAAGUUUUUCAUUUCAAACUCAGUUGACAAUUGCUCUUGAAGCUUAGAGAUUUCUUCUACGUCAUCCCCUGUGAUGAUCAUGUCGUCUACAUAGACUAUGAGGGCUGUUAUUUUUCCCACUUGAUGUUUUAGGAAGAGUGUAUGAUCAGAAUUGCUUUGUUGAAAACCAUAUUUCCUCAUUGUCGAACUAAACCUGCCAAACCAUGCUCGAGGUGAUUGCUUUAGUCCAUACAAUGCCCGUUGUAAACUACAUGCGAUCUUUGCCUCUGAGGUAGCAGUAUAACCUGGUGGAAGAUCCAUGUAAAUUUCCUUUUCAAGAUCACCAUGGAGGAAGGCAUUUUUCACGUCCAGUUGGUGCAAUGGCCAAUCUAAGUUUGCUGCAAGAGAUAAUAGAACUCUAACAGUUUUUAGUUUGGCUACAGGUGAGAAAGUUUCCUGAUAAUCUAUACCAUAUUUCUGUGUACAACCCUUUGCUACCAACCUUGCCUUGUAUUGAUCAAUAGACCCAUCUGCUUUGUAUUUAAUAGAGAAAAUCCACUUGCACCCCACCGUCUUCCUUCUUUCAGGCAAUACACUCAAAACCCAUGUGUUAUUUUUCUGCAACACCUCCAAUUCCUCUUUUAUAGCUUGAGCCCAUUUCGAAUCUGAUAAAACUUCUUCAACACUACUCGGAAUUUGACAUGAGGAGAGUGUAUGUGCAAAUGCCCUAAGAGGUUCAGAUAAUCUUUGAGUGGACACAUAAUUGGCUAUUGGAUACUUGGAUCGUCGUUCUUCUAUGUCUGGGGAGUAUCAAUUUGGUGGCUUGCCUCGAUUGUGUCUGAAAGGUAGAACGUAACCCGUAGAUGUAUCUAUAGCAUUAGUUUGUAAAGGUGUGAUAGAAAAGCUUACCUCAGGGAUAUUCUCAGAAGGAUGGUCGUUGGGUACUAAAGAGUGAAGGGAUUCAUCAGAUUCUGCAUCUUCCGAUGAUUCAGGUACAAGUUCAACUUCAAUUCUUGGAGGUUCAACCAUGUCGUUGCCAUCAUUCGGAUGUGCUAGAUUGUCACCAACGUCCAGCAUUUCAACAUCCAACCAAUUUCUUUCUUCACCAUGGAUCUCUCCCUGAAGAGGAGAAUUGGAUACCAGUGAUGGGAAUUUUUUUUCAGAUUCUAGGAAGGUGACAUCCAUGGUGAUGUAGGUUCUUUUAGCAAUGGGAUCGUAGCAUUUUUUGUACUCCAUACCCCAAAAAUAGACACCAGACAGCACAUGGAUCCAACUUAGUUCAUUGAUUCUUAUGGAUGUGAACAAAAACAACACAACCAAAAAUUCGAGGAGGAAUCAUCAAAACAUUAGGUAAUGAGACAUGAUCGGAAAGCACCUUAACCAGAGUCUGAAAUUGUAAGACUUUGGUUGGCAUACGGUUCAGUAGAUGCACGGCUGUGGCAACAGCAUCACUCCAGUAUCUAUUCGGCACAUGUGCAUUGAUCAAUAGAGCACGGGUAGUUUCUAAGAUAUGUCUAUUCUUCCUUUCAGCAGUACCAUUCUGUUUGGGGUUUGAGAACAUGAGGUUCAUGGAGAAUACCAUGACUGUUGAAGUGUGUCUAGAAUUGUUGGUUAACAUACUCCCCUCCAUUGUUAGAACGAAGGAUCUUAAUUUUUGCAGAAAAUUGUGUUUGAACCAUGGUAUGAAAUGAUUGGAAAACAACAAAUACUUCAUCUUUGUGUUUUAGGAGGUAAAUUCAUAUCAUUCUUGUACAGUCAUCAACAAAAAUUGCAAACCAACGGUGACCAGAAGACGUAGUAACUGGGGAAGGUCCCCAUACAUCAGAAUGGAUUAAAUCAAAAGGAAUCAUACUUUUAUUCAUACUCAAGGGAUAAGAAGCUCUAUGACUUUUGGCUAAGAUACAAGUAUCGCAUUUAAAAUUUAAGUGUGAUACUUUGGAAAAUAAACCAGGUAGUAAGUGCUUCAAAUACCCAAAAGAUGGAUGCCCAAGUCGAUGGUGCCAUAACCAAAUAUGUCUUUUCUUGUUACUAACUGUGUGGUGCAUGUGAUUUGCUCUUCCCGAACUGAAGUCAUCAACGUAGUAUAAUCCCCCCCUCUUAGUACCACGCCCAAUUAUCUCCUUGGUAAGAAUAUCCUGAAGAAGGUAAAAAGUAUAAUACAUUACUACCACACAAUUAAGAUCCGUAGUAACUUGACUCACAGACAUCAGUCUAUUUGAAAGAGAAGGUACAAGUAAUGUAUUAGAUAAUGAAAGGGAAGGAGAUAACGUCACUGUUCCCACCCCUGUAAUCGGAUAAGCGACCCCAUUGGCAUUUUUAACACAACUCCGUCUCGAUUGAGUUGCAUUAGAAAAAUCAUUUGAAUAAAAUGUCAUGUGGUAUGUAGCACCAGAGUUGAGAAUCCAGUCAUCAUCAUUAUUGUGAGUAGAGAUAUGAAGUGUCUUACCAGAAGUACCAGAAGUACUUGGAUCAUGUGAAGAUUCUACUUGAGGGAUGAGGGAUAAUGAAGGAUCACAAGUAACCACGACAGCUCUCCCAGUGUGGUCAUCAUUAGCAAAGGUUUCACGUUUUUUUCGUGCUUGAAAGUCGUUCCACCAAUCUGGAUACCCAUGUAGUUUGAAGCAGGUGUCACGGGUAUGUUUGGAGUUGCCACAAUGUGUACACUUCAUGCCAUCAGAUGGUGGUUUGGUUUUGGAUUUUCCCCUGCUUAGAGAAAGAGCCCCUGGUUUCGGUGUUGUCUGGUAGUGACUUCCCUUGAUCCCUUUGGAUAUCAUAACUCCUCCAGGAGUGGUAUCUGUACCUGAGAUCAUCACAAUCUGCCUGACAUCUUCCUUACGAACAAAAGCGUAGGCCUGUUCCACUGUAGGGAAUGGUUUUAAUUGGAGCACAUCACUCCGAGUUUUAUCUAGUCUGUCAUCUAGUCCAUCAAGGAAAGUAUAAACCCGAUCUUCUUGUAGAAUCGAGUUGUAUUUCUGUAUGUCAAUAGCACACUCCAUCGGGUUAGGACGACGAAAAUCGAUUUCUUGCCACAACCCUUGAAGAUCGUUGUAGUAUUUUUCAAUGGAUCCACCCCCCUGCUUCAUACGAGUAACACGACGCCGGAGAUCAUAGACUUGAGAUGAUACUGUCCCAUCAAAAUAGGUUGUAGCAGCAGAAUCCCAAACCUGUUUUGUAGUUGGGAAGCGGAUAAAGUUGGCAAUCAAGGAAGGGUCCAUUGAAUUGAUCAACCAUCCCUUGACAAUGGCAUUUUCGGUUCGCCAUAUCCUGAGUGAAGGAUCGGUUUUUGGAGGUUGAGGGGAAUCUCCAUUAAUAUAUCCUAACUUGUCCUUGCCAGAGAUAUACAUCUCGACAACCUGGGACCAUAAGGCAUAGUUGGAUCCUUCCAACUUGAUACCGAUCGGAGCAGUUGAGGAAUCGGCAAGCAGAGGUUGAGGGGAAGUUUGGGCUCGAGUCAAGACUUCCGUCAUUUUUGUCGUCAGAUCGUUAAGGAUGGAGUUGGUAUGGGGAAUGAGAGAUUGUGUUAGGUCUCCGGAUUCCACCAUGGAUUCUAUUGGGUCUGGGUUCUUUCCUGGUCAAGCGACGCCGUAAAAUGACCACGUCGGCAAUGGCGCAAGCCUGUCAGUUGGAAAAUCCGUCGGGGUCGUCUCCGACGAACUCUGGAGAGGAUCUGGGGUCGACUUCGACUUCGUCUCCCAAGUCUGUGGAGACUACGACGAAGGUGCAGUUUGCUGGAAGGUUUUUUUCUUCUUUUUUUAUUUGAGUUGAAUACCAUCAUAUAUAGAUACAGAGCAAAGGAAUUUUAGGAACCUAUUCUAGCCUAUACACAGGUUGUGGUAGAAAUUGUAGAUCACGUUUGAAGUAUGGAAUUUACAUUAAUAGAUUUUCUCUAAUUAUCUAAUUAGACAGCUCACUCCAACAAAAACAAUUUAACAAUGCCUAGAAAAUUAGAAAUAACCAGAGAGAAUGAAAAAAAAAACAGAGUGAUAAGUGAAAAUGAGCAAAGAAGCUACAAAAAACGUACCUGAAAAUGCUCCCUCCAACGAGAAUAGUUGGGCUUCAAGCUGCUUUGUUUCUUCUUUCAAACCUCCAGAAAACCACAACAAAAUCAACUUCCCUUUCUCUCCCUUGCUCCUAAUCACCCUGCCUAGAAUCCUCUCUGCUCCCUGUUUUCUCUCUAACCCCCAAUUCCGAAGAAUCCCACCAUCACUCCAACCAACCUCUUAGCAAUUCCCCCUGUUUCCACUCUUUCCAUUUCUGUUUUUCCCCUGUCUCCACUCUCCCCCGACCCACACUCUCAGAUACUUUCCUGCUCAAGACUCCUACUUCUCUCUAAAAAAACGACCCGCCCAAAACUUUGCCACAUGUCGCUCUCACUGGCUCCCUUUUCUCUCUUAGUAAGUAACUCACCAAAAAGACAAAAAUUCACGCUCCACCAUUUUGCAGAUCCUCCUUGCCCACCUAGUUUGCCACGACUCCAAAAUAGAGCUUAAGUCCAAAAUAAUCUGUUGGUAGAAAAAAAUGGUAAGAAUAGUAGUCAUCUCAAAAUAUUUGUCAAAGUAGUAUUUUCUAUCCACGUAAUCAUUCAUGCGAGUUUUUUUAGUGUAAAAAACCACCGUUACUAACUGUGAUUUUAAAAGUUUCAGAAAUAUCUUUAAAACCACAGUCACAGAAUGUGGUUUUACAAUUUUCCUCGUUAGUAACUGUGGUUUCAUAAUAUUUUUAAACCGCCCCUGUUUCAAUGGUAUUAUGAUUUUAAUAUUAUUUUUUAAAAUAUUUUUUAUCAUAAUAACCAUAAAACCACAGUUAGUAACUGCAAUUUUAAAAAUAUUCUGAAAACCAUGAUCAGACCAUGGUUUUACAAUUUUCUUUAGAACCACAGUUACUAAUUGUGGUUUCACAAAUAUCUUUAAUGAGAACUCGUGUAACCAUACAUCAACUAAAAAAAUAUAUGGGAUUUUAGAACUUUGCUUUUUUCUUUUUAGUUUUAGUGUAAAAUGGGAAAAAAAUAUUGUUUAUUCAUGCAUUUCGAUAGUACUUUCAAAUCAUUUCACAAUUACCCUCAUAAGUGAUAUAAGAUUAUAAAACUUUGUUUUUUUAUUUUUAAUUUUAGUGUAAAUAGGAAAAAAUAUUGCUUAUUCAUGCAUUCCAAUACUGCUUUUAAAUUGAUUGUGAAUCUAUUUUUUUUUUUGGUUAAAAUCUUUAAUUUUUAAUUAAAAUAAAAUAUAUUUUUCAUUAAAAAAAAUGUAAUUAACCUUUUAUAUUAAUUUCAUAAAAAAUAGGUACACCCUUAAAAAAAAUAGGUAUAUUCAUGCUUAGGGGAACCGGAACCACUAUCAUACUUAUCAUGGUGUAUAUUCCUUUGGGACCCUCGAUAAGUAAUCAGAGGUCCUUGCCCACCCCAAAACAAACUUUGGAAUCCUAGGUAUAUCAUUUCUUAGAGGAACCAAGACCCCUAUUUCCAUUAUCAUGGUUCAUAUAUUCCUUUGGGGACCUUUGAGAAUGAAUUGGAGGUUGUUCCCCACCUUAGAAUGGACAUUGGAACCCAAGGAACAUCCUAAAGAUAAUUUGGUACAUCAUUUACAAAAAUUGGUACAUCUUUCACAAAAUUUGACACAUCCUUAAAACAAUGUGGUACAUCCAAUCCACGAGCCACCAAGACCUCUAUAUUAUUACCCAUGGUUCGUUUAUUUCUUUAGGGAUCUUUAGGAAGUAAUCAAAGGUCAUUCCCUACUCUGAAACUAACUUUGGAACCCUAGGUACAUCCUUAAGGAAAUUUGGUACAUCAUUAAGAAAAUUUGAUAUAUCUAAUCCUUGAACUAACGAGACACAUAUCUUUCUUCCCAUUGUCUAUUUAUUCUUUUAGACAACCUUAGGAAGUGAUUAGAGGUCGUUCCCCAAUUUGGAACAAACUUUGGCCCCCUUGGUACAUCCUUUACAAAAUUUGGUAAAUAUUUUAUAAAAUUUGGUACAUUCUUCACAAAAUUUGGUACAUCCUUAAAAAAAAUUGGUACAUCUAAUCCUUGAACUACUAGGACCCCUAUCUUAUUACCUAUGGUCUGUUUAUUUCUUUAAAUAUCUUUGGAAAGUAAUUGAAGGUCGUUCACUACUCCGAAAUGGACUUUGGAACCAUAGGUACAUCCUUGAGAAAAUUUGAUACAUCCAUUACUUGAACUAACAAGACACCUAUCUCUCUUUCCAUGGUUCAUUUCUUCCUUUAGAGACUCUCGGAAAGUGAUUAGAGGUCGUUCCCCACCUCGGAACUGACUUUGGCAACCUUGGUACAUCCUUUAUAAAAUUUGAUACAUCUUUUACAAAAUUUGAUACGUCCUUCACAAAAUUUGGUACAUCCUUCAAAUAAUUUGGUACAUCCAAUCCUUAAGUUACUAGGACCCCUAUCUUAUUACCCAUUGUCCAUUUAUUCCUUUAGGGAUCUUUGGAAAAUGAUUGAAGGUCGUUCCCUACUCCGAAAUGAACUUUGGAACCCUAGGUACAUCCUUGAAAAAAUUUGAUACAUCCAAUCCUUGAGCUAUUGGAAUCCCUAUCUUAUUACCCAUAGUCCAUUUAAUCCUGUAGGAAUCUUUGGGAAGCAAUUGGAUGCACCAAAAUUUCUUAACGAUGUACCAAAUUUCCUUAAGGAUGUACUUAGGGUUCCAAAGUUCGUUUCUGAGUAAGGAAAAUUUCUUACAAUUUUCCAUUGUCAGUUUUAAAUUAUUAUUUUUUUACAAAUCAUCCUUAACAAAUUUUUUUUUUACGACUGUUUUAAAAUUAUAUUUUUUUUUCAUAUUUUCCUUGAAAUUUUGAGAAAAUAAUUUUACCGACAUGCAUUCCCAUAAAAUUUUUAUAUAUUUAUGGUAAAUAAAAUAUUUAUUUGUUUUAUGAAUUUUAUCACAUAUGAAUUAAAGAAAAUUGUUUUUUCAUAUUAUUUUUAAAUUUUAAAGAAUAUUUUUUAUAAAGAAUAUUUCAAAAAUAAUAUUAUGAUAAAGAAUAUUUUUAAAAUAAUAUUAAAAUUACAAUACCAUUGAAACAGGGGGUGGUUUAAAAAUAUUUUUGAAACCACAGUUGCUAAUUGUGGUUUUAAAGAAAAUUGUAAAACCAUAGUAAUAGACUGUAGUUUUAAGGAUAUUUUUGAAAAUUUUGAAACUACAGUCAUCAACGAUGGUUUUUUACACUAAAAAAAAAACUCACGUGGAUGAUUACGUGGAUAGAAAAUACUACUUUGACAAAUAUUUUGAGAUGGGUACUAUUCUUACCAUUUUUUUUCUACAAACAGAUUAUUUUGGACUUAAACUCUCCAAAACAUGCUCCCGCAAAAAGAAAAUCUGAUUUUUUUUUUCUCCUAAAAGAAAGAUACCCAAAAACAUGCUAUUUCCCGCCAGCUACCCAUGAAAGGAUACAUCUCAAAAGAGCCCUCCCAAAAUGGGGGUCUAUAAUAUGUUAUAUCAUUUAAAAUUAAGGAUUAAUUGAUUAAAAAGAUGAAAACAUUCCAAAAUACCCUUCAACAUUUUCAUUAUUUACAUGUGUAUUUUAAAAGAAAUGGUUACUUUUACAAAAUAAAUAAAUAAAUAAAAAAUGAUGAGGGCAUUUUUAUCAAAAAUGAGUAUUUUUUAGAUUGAAAAAAUGUGAAGGGUUAAUUUUCCAAAAUGUCCCUAUCCUUAAAAUUAAUGCUCAUUGGCUUAUAAGGGACCUGACCUCAUCCAUUGAUCUAAGCUUAUUUUUGCCCCGUAUUUAACACCUGGUUUUUAAAAAGGUUAUUGUGGACCCGAUGUUUUCGCUUGAUGCAUUCCCACUCGAUGGUGAAACUCGUUUUUUUUAUUUUUUUUAUUUGUGAAAAUUUGAUUUUUAGAAAAAAAACUUGGAGUCGCCACUUAUUUUUGAAAGGAAAAAGCAAUAAUAAAAAAGAAAAACCCUAAAUGUGACUCUGAAGGAAAAAACAAGUCUACGAAAAACCGAGUCUGGGUUCAGGGGUCAGGUUACUUAUUGGGAAGGUAUAGUGGUGAGUCGUAACACCCCUCUAAGGCCGUAUACGUACGACCUCUACUAAAUGAAUUAAGGGAAUUAUGGCAAUUAACUAAUUAAUUAUGGAUACCAAGAAAAAUAAUCAUACAAAUGAAUCUGUACAAGUCAUGGUGAAAAUCAAUAUACACAAAAAUAAUAAUGAAAUCUAAUUACAAGAAUACACAAAAUAAAUGAUAAGAGAAUUAUGUAAAAUAAUUUAUUGAACUAAAUGAAAAAAAAUGGUAUUAAAAAAAAUGGCUUUCAAGAAAUUUCAAAAGGAUUUUAUUAAAAACAAUUUUGAAUGAGUGAUUUCAAUUUAUUUAUUUGCAAAAUAUUUUCUUCAAGUGAUUUGGUUCAAUUUCAUUUGUAUUUAAUUUUCAAAAAAAGGUUAUUUAUACUUAUUAUAUCAAAUAUAAUUUAUUACAAAAUUUCAAUUUGGCAACAAAAAUUACUUUACAAAAAAAAAAAAAAAAUUUUACAAGUUUGUUUGCAAAAGUAUUUCAAGUUUUUUCAUUUAAGAAGAGUGAUUUAUACAAAUUAUUUAAAAAUGCAUAACUUCAUGUGCAAAAAGAAUUUUAAUUAAAAAGAAAAAAAAUAUUUAAAUAAUCUAUUUCUAAAAAAAAUACUUUUAAUUCCAUUUUAAUUAAGGAAAAAGAAUUCAUUUAAAAAAACAUUUUUUGGACAAUUUUAUUAAAAAUAAAUUUUUGGGGCAACUUUAUUUACAAAAAAAAAUUUGGACAAUUUUUAUUAAAUAAAGAAAUUUUUGGACAAUUUUAUUAAAAACAAAUUUUCAAAUUCUAUAAAAAAAAAUUCUUUUGGAUUUUUAUAAAAGCAUUUUUCUGAAUUUUUAUAAAUAAAAAAAACUUUCUUUUGUUAAAAAAAAAUAUUUUAAAAUUAUUAUUUUAUUAAAAUAUAUUUAUUGAAUUCUUCCUCUCAUUUAAACAAAAUUUCUAGUUUGUUCGAUAUUCAAUUCUGUACACACUCAAUAAAUAUAUACAAGCAAAUAUCUACAAGAACUAAUAAAAAUAAAAUCAAAUAAAAGUGGAAAAUAAAAUAUGUACCCAAAUAAACUUAUAACAAAUUCAAUGUCUUCCUACGACUUUUUUAUUAUCACUUUCUUUCAUGAAAUUUUGUGUUCCACGUGUCAUAAAUUCAUACUCAACUAACAAGAUUGUAGAAUAAGUCAAUGCAAAAACAAAAAUAACUCAUAUGUAAAUAUCCAAAAAUAUGUAGGGUUCAAAUAAUAAUUCAAGCCCAAAUUCAAACUUUAAAUUAGCCCAAUAAAUUUUAACAAUUAAAAAUGUGUCCAAAUUAACAAAUAUAACCCAAUAAAAAUAUCUCACAUAUCAUAAACCCUAACAUAAAGUUUUCAAAUUAAUAGCCAAAACAUAAGCUCAAUUAAUCAAACCCAAUAAAUUAGGAUAAAUCUCAUUAGGCCUAAAUUUAAUAUUUCAUAAUCCAAACCUAAUUUAAUAUACACCACAAUUGUCUCAUGCCCAAAUUAAAUAGUUCAAAUUAGUCAAACUCAUAUAAAAUAUUAAAGUCAUCCAACAAAUCUCACCCACAUUAUGGGUCCAAAAUUCAUAUAAGUUAACAAGCCCACAUCAAUAAUAUACAUGGCCAAAUGAAAUAAUAUUUCAAGCCCAAACAAAUAACCAAUUAACAAUAGGAUCAAGUCCAAAUAAACAAUAUAUAAUUGAUAUAAUCCAAAUAUCUCAAAUUAAUCACCAAAUACAAUAUAACCACAAACCCAAAUUAAAAAAUUUUAAAUUAAUUCACCAAUAAUAAAUUAGCUCAAAUUUCAUAUUAAUUUACCAACAACAAGUUAACCAAAAUUUCAUAUUAAUUCAACAAUCCUAAUUUCACAAACAACAAUUACUAUUAAAAUCAAAUCAAGAAAAAUAAUAAUAAUAAUAAUAAUAAUAAUAAUGGAAAAUGAGUGGGAUGGGACAACAAGGGAAUGAGAGAAAAUGGGAGGGGGUCGCCGGCUGGUAGUGACUCGCCGGUGGCGACUACAAGGGGCUCACCGGCGGUAGUGAGAGAUUGGGUAUGGUGAGAGGGGAGUAGAAAAUAAUAAUAAUAAUAUAAUAAAAUAAAAUAAAAUAAAAAAGAAAUGAAAGAAAAGAAAAUAAGAAGAAAUCAAAAGAAGAGUGUUCGGAUGGAGAGAAAGGGAGGGAAAAUGUGGGAAAGAAAAAAAAAAUGGGGGCUAGUCACCGCAUUUAGGAGUUAGAAGAAAAAAAUGAAAAAAAUGAAGAGGGGAAAUGGGGAGGAUGAUUGAGAAAAAUAUAAUAUAAUAUAAUAAUAAUAAUAAUAACAAAUAAAAAUAAAAUAAUAAAAACUAAGAAUUAAAUGGUGAGUGGACCAAAAAACACAUGUAAUCGGGAUUUAAAAUUUAUUGACAAAAUUGAGCUCAAAAUUAAUGUAAAAAUAAAAUUAGAACAAAUUUUGGGGUCAUAGUUAUAUUUGAUUAAAAUGAUUAUUGAAAACUCAAUUUUAGAAAUUUAACAUUUCAUCAUUUUUUAUUAUCUCAUUUUAACAAAAAUGUUCUUAUUCUUUUCAUGUAAAAAUAACUUUUUAUUUUAAAACCUACAUGUAAACACUUGAAAUGAUAAAAAAACUAUUUACAUCAAAAGCGGGAUACUCUUCAAACAAAAAUACAAGAAGGUUUAAAUUCACAAAUAUGAGGAUUAUUUCACCAUUUUUAACUAAUUAAUUUUUUUUCAAAUUGGCAAAAUGUGAAGCUAGCACGAUUAACAUUAGUAAAGUAUCUAAUUGCUAAAGAGAAUGGUAGGAUUUAUUGACCUAACUCAAUUUAAUAUAUGUUAAAAUGGUGACAUUUUCUAAUUAUAGGCAUAAAAAAAUUAGGAGAAUGACAAAACUUAGUUAUUUUUCUCAAAAAUGACAUUAAAAAAAAAAAAAAAACAAGGUCCUAAUAUAGUCUUAUAAACUACAAAAGAAAGAAAUUUGAACUGUUGUACACCAAGGCCUAGCCUUGCAUGACAAAUAAAUUGGCAACAAAGGAUUAUGGUUUUGGAAAAAAUGAAAAGAAGGAAAGGAUAAAACAUGGAUUAUUUAUUUACUAAAAACCGGAGUCAAGAGGUGGAAGGAAAUCAUGUUUAUGAGAGUUAUCGCCAUGAUUGGACUUGAGCUUCUAGCACAUGAAGUAAAGAGCUGCUAGUGGUACCUAUUAAAUACGAAUAUGAUUGGUACAUUGUCGUUAUGUGGGUUGGUGUUAGAUAAUUUAUUAUUUAUUUAUAUUUAUAUUUAUAUAUAUUUUGGGUUUACUAAGCUUUGGACAGCCGUUGGGUGUUAAUCUCACACUUUUAAUAUUAGUAUGGAAAAUUUGAGCUUUCACACGACAAGGAAAGGUGGCAUUACAGCCAAGCAAUUUAAUUAUUAAUUAGUUACUGGAGUCGGAGCUUCCUAUAACUAAUUUUUAAAAAGAAAAAGUGGGAAAUGGCGCCUCCAACAGUCAAAAAAUGCCGUUUCAACCGGGGCUUAAAAAUGGGCCUCCCUCCGCUGUCAUUUCCACGCAACUCCAUUGCAACGACGGAGUAUUAUUCCAUCCCCAUAGACCACCAUCCAAGUCAACUAAAAGUCUAGAUCAAUUACUUGUUUUAGUCACCAGAAAUUACCAAUAAACCACUCACGGUCUUGUUAUAAACCAAGCUGCAGCGUCACCAGAAACUUCAAAUCACAAGAGAGAAAAUUUGCAUAGAGAGAAUAUGGGAGAAACACUUGAUCGUAUUGGAUUGAGCGGAGAAGUCAUUAAUGCAGCUGCUUCUCUAGCCAUGAAGGCUCACGAUUCCACUCGCGAGCCAUUUCUCCUCAAGAAACCCCGUGGCUUAUCCGUUGCUGUUGUUGCAUUUGCUGGAUCUUGGCUUCCCGAUGAUUGGUGUGCGGAGACACCUUUUGGAGAAACGACGAUAGAUGCUGGUACCUUUCCUUCGCUUAAAAGUUUAGGCGAUGACGGAGUCGCUCUGGUCAACGGGUCGUUUCUCCGGCGAUUCAAGGCAAUCUUAGGCCAAUCAUCACUUGCCGAAAAGGUACUUCAAUUCAACUUAUGCAUAGAUAUAUGAAAAACGAUCUUGUGAAUUUAAAAUGUGGAUGUUGGGGUUGGAUUUUUCAGGUGAAAAAAGUAAUUGGAGAGAAGAAGCGAGUUGUUUUCACCGGCUACUCGUCGGGUGCUCCGGUGGCCAUCCUGGCAACUCUAUGCCUCUUGGAGAAGCCAGAGCCCAAUCAGAGCCCACCCCGCUGCGUCACUUUCGGAUCCCCCCUCGUCGGUGAUCGGAUCUUCGGUCAUGCUGUCAGACGGGAGAAAUGGUCCGACCACUUCGUUCAUUUUGUUAUGAGAUACGAUGUGAUCCCUCGGAUUAUGCUUGCCCCUUCAUCCACUGAGCACAAACAAAUUCUCGAUUUCUUCAAUCCCAGAUCUGAAUUCUUCAGAAAACCCAUUGAUUCUCCUUUAGGUUUCUAUUCCAGCGUGAUGAGGAAUGCAUCCUUGGUUGCAAACUAUGAUGCCUGCAAUCUCAUGGGAUGCAGAAUCCCGGCGUUGGAAACUCUAAGGAACUUCAUUGAGCUCAGCCCUUAUAGACCUUUCGGAACUUACAUCUUCUGCACGGGAAAUGGAAAAUUGGUUGUCGUAAGGAACUCGAAUGCAGUACUGCAGAUGCUGUUUUACUGUGCUCAGUGGACCCAAGAAGAAGCUGCAGGGGUUGCACAAAGAAGCCUAUCUGAACACUUGGCUUACAAAGAUGAAAUACAAGAGAGCUUAGGAAUGCAGAAUGUAGUCUAUCUAGAUCGUCUGGAAGAGAUUCCAGUGUCUUCAGAUGGCAGUCCAGCCACAGUCAACACGGCCUUGAAUGACCUCGGCCUGGUGAGCCUUCUUCCUUUCUUCUUAAUUACCUUACUGCCAAACUACAGAAUUUUAGCUUCCAUGUCUGUAAAUCUCAAUUGAUGUUCUAGUGUUAUGGAUUGCAGAGCCCACAAGGAAGGCUAUGCCUUCAAGCUGCAGGAGAGUUGGAGAAGCGAAAGUCAAGAAAUCAGGAUAAGAUCAUUAAUGAUUAUAAGCAAAAGAUUGAAGGUGAAUUAAGAGAGCUGAGAAAGUACAAGGAAAAGGCUGAGACUUGUGGACUGGGCUACUAUGAUUCCUUUAAGCUCAACAAAUACGAAGAGGACUUUCGGGCUAAUGUGAGCAGGCUUGUGCUAGCUGGUUUCUAGGACGAGAUGAUGGAAAUGUUAAAAGCGUAUGAACUUCCGGAUGACUUUGAGAAGAGCCAUGACUUUAUACGACUUGGAACCGAUUAUCGCCGCACGGUUGAGCCUCUAGAUAUUGCCAACUUCUAUCGACACGCCAAGGAUGAAGAGACAGGAUUCUACGUGAAAAAGGGUACUCGACCAAAACGAUAUCGAUACAUCCAAAAUU
rnacentral:lncRNA from 1 species